GACGAACGCUGGCGGCGUGCUUAACACAUGCAAGUCGAACGGAAAGACCCUGCUUUUGUGGGCUGCUCGAGUGGCGAACGGGUGAGUAACACGUGAGUAACCUGCCCUUGACUUUGGGAUAACUUCAGGAAACUGGGGCUAAUACCGGAUAGGAGCUCCUGCUGCAUGGUGGGGGUUGGAAAGUUUCGGCGGUUGGGGAUGGACUCGCGGCUUAUCAGCUUGUUGGUGGGGUAGUGGCUUACCAAGGCUUUGACGGGUAGCCGGCCUGAGAGGGUGACCGGCCACAUUGGGACUGAGAUACGGCCCAGACUCCUACGGGAGGCAGCAGUGGGGAAUAUUGCACAAUGGGCGGAAGCCUGAUGCAGCAACGCCGCGUGCGGGAUGACGGCCUUCGGGUUGUAAACCGCUUUCGCCUGUGACGAAGCGUGAGUGACGGUAAUGGGUAAAGAAGCACCGGCUAACUACGUG
rnacentral:rRNA from 1 species